rnacentral:rRNA from 1 species
AGAUUGAACGCUGGCGGCAGGCCUAACACAUGCAAGUCGAGCGGCAGCGGGAAGAUAGCUUGCUAUCUUUGCCGGCGAGCGGCGGACGGGUGAGUAAUGCCUAGGGAUCUGCCCAGUCGAGGGGGAUAACAGUUGGAAACGACUGCUAAUACCGCAUACGCCCUACGGGGGAAAGGAGGGGACCUUCGGGCCUUCCGCGAUUGGAUGAACCUAGGUGGGAUUAGCUAGUUGGUGAGGUAAUGGCUCACCAAGGCGACGAUCCCUAGCUGUUCUGAGAGGAUGAUCAGCCACACUGGGACUGAGACACGGCCCAGACUCCUACGGGAGGCAGCAGUGGGGAAUAUUGCACAAUGGGGGAAACCCUGAUGCAGCCAUGCCGCGUGUGUGAAGAAGGCCUUCGGGUUGUAAAGCACUUUCAGUAGGGAGGAAAGGUAAUAACUUAAUACGUUAUUACUGUGACGUUACCUACAGAAGAAGGACC